AGCAGCCGCGGUAAUUCCAGCUCCAAUAGCGUAUAUUAAAGUUGUUGUGGUUAAAAAGCUCGUAGUUGAACCUUGGGCCUGGCUGGCCGGUCCGCCUCACCGCGUGUACUGGUCCGGCCGGGUCUUUCCCCCUGUGGAACCCCAUGCCCUUCACUGGGUGUGGCGGGAAAACAGGACUUUUACUUUGAAAAAAUUAGAGUGCUCCAGGCAGGCCUAUGCUCGAAUACAUUAGCAUGGAAUAAUAGAAUAGGACGUGUGGUUCUAUUUUGUUGGUUUCUAGGACCGCCGUAAUGAUUAAUAGGGACAGUCGGGGGCAUCAGUAUUCAAUCGUCAGAGGUGAAAUUCUUGGAUUGAUUGAAGACUAACUACUGCGAAAGCAUUUGCCAAGGAUGUUUUCAUUAAUCAGGAACGAAAGUUAGGGGAUCGAAGACGAUCAGAUACCGUCGUAGU
rnacentral:rRNA from 1 species